UACAGGGGAUGCAAGCGUUAUCCGGAAUGAUUGGGCGUAAAGCGUCUGUAGGUGGUUUUGAAAGUCUAUUGUCAAAAACCAAGGCUUAACCUUGGACCGGCAAUGGAAACUUCAAGAAUAGAGUACGGUAGGGGUAGAGGGAAUUACCGGUGUAACGGUGAAAUGUGCAGAUAUCGGUAAGAACACCAACGGCGAAAGCACUCUACUGGGCCGCAACUGACACUGAGAGACGAAAGCUAGGGGAGCGAAUAGG
rnacentral:rRNA from 1 species